rnacentral:rRNA from 1 species
AUGCCGAUCGGAGAAGCUGUUCUGUCUGCCUUCAUGCAGGCACUCUUCGAGAAAGUGAUCGCUACCGCUUUUGGUGAGCUGAAAUUACCUCAAGAUGUAGCUGAGGAGCUGGCAAAACUAUCCAGCAGUCUGUCGACCAUCCAAGCUCACGUUGAAGAUGCUGAGGAGCGGCAGCUGAAGGAUAAGGCGGCACGAAGCUGGCUUGCCAAGCUCAAGGAUGUCGCAUAUGAGAUGGAUGAUUUGCUCGAUGAUUAUGCAGCUGAGGCCCUUCGAUCAAAACUAGAAGGCCCGUCCAGCAACAACCAUUUGAGCAAGGUUAGAAGCUGUUUCUGCUGCUUUUGGUUCAACACCUGUUUAUUCACCCACAAGAUUCUGCAAGACAUAAAGAAGGUGGAGGAGAAGCUCAAUAUGCUUGUCAAGGAAAGAGAGAUUAUUGGUCCAAACAUAAUUAGUGGAACAGACAGGAAAGAGAUAAAAGAGAGGCCUGAGACUAGUUCAAUAAUCGAUGACUCCAGUGUGUUUGGAAGAGAAGAAGAUAAGGAGAUCAUUGUGAAGAUGUUGCUUGAUCAAAAUAACUCUAACCAUGCCAACCUUUCUAUUCUUCCCAUAGUGGGUAUGGGCGGACUAGGGAAGACGACUCUAGCACAGCUUGUCUACAAUGAUACAAGAAUAAAAGAGCAUUUCCAAUUAAGGGUCUGGCUGUGUGUUUCUGAAAAUUUUGAUCAGAUGAAGCUUACCAAGGAAACCAUUGAAUCAGUUGCCAGCGAGUGUGAAUCAGCCAUCAGUGGGGUCUCAUCGGUCACGACCAACAUGAACUUGCUCCAAGAAGACCUCUCGAAAAAGCUAAAAGGUAAAAGGUUUCUUCUAGUACUUGAUGAUGUAUGGAACGAGGACUCUGAAAAGUGGGGUACAUAUCGCCGUGCUCUACUUACUGGAGGAAAGGGAAGCAGAAUAGUAGUAACCACAAGGAACAAAAACGUAGGGAAACUAAUGGGUGGGACGACUCCAUACUAUCUAAAUCAGUUAUCCGACAAUGAUUGCUGGUCUUUGUUCAGAAGCUAUGCAUUUGUGGAUGGUAACUCCAGUACACACCCAAAUUUGGAAAUGAUAGGGAUGGAAAUUGUGAAGAAGUUGAAAGGCUUACCACUGGCUGCCAAAGCAAUAGGCAGCUUACUAUGUUCCCAGGAUACUGAAGAUGACUGGAAAAAUGUGUUAAGGAGUGAAAUAUGGGAACUGCCAUCAGAUAAGAACAAUAUAUUGCCAGCACUGAGAUUGAGUUACAAUCAUUUGCCUGCCAUACUGAAGAGAUGUUUUGCAUUUUGCUCAGUCUUUCACAAAGACUAUGUGUUUGAGAAAGACAGGUUGGUCCAGAUAUGGAUGGCCCUUGGGUUUAUUCAGCCUCAGCGGAGGAGAAGAAUGGAAGAGAUUGGAAGUAGCUAUUUUGAUGAAUUACUAAGCAGGUCCUUCUUCCAACAUCACAAAGGUGGAUAUGUGAUGCAUGAUGCUAUGCAUGACCUAGCACAGUCGGUCUCAGUUCAUGAAUGUCUCAGACUGGAUGACCUUCCAAACAACAGCAGCUCUGCAAGAAGUGCCAGGCACCUCUCAUUCUCUUGCAAUAAUAGAAGCCAGACUUCAUUUGAAGCCUUUCUUGGAUUUAAGAGAGCACGUACACUUCUACUGCUAAGUGGAUAUAAAUCAAUGACAAGUUCUAUCCCCAGUGAUCUGUUCCUCAAAUUAAGGUACCUCCAUGUACUUGAUUUGAACCGGCGAGACAUUACCGAGUUGCCAGAUUCUAUUGGAAGCUUAAAAAUGCUUCGAUAUUUGAAUCUCUCUGGCACUGGUAUAGCAGUUUUGCCUUCAUCAAUUGGUAGGCUCUUCAGCUUGCAAACACUGAAGUUGAAAAACUGCCAUGAGUUAGAUUAUCUCCCGCAAAGCAUAACCAAUCUUGUAAAUCUUCGAUGGCUAGAAGCAAGAACAGAGUUGGUCACGGGCAUAGCCAGAAUAGGUAACUUAACCUGUCUUCAACAGUUGGAUGAAUUCGUGGUCCGUACAGACAAAGGAUACAAGAUCAGUGAAUUGAUGGCAAUGAAUGAAAUUAGAGGGCAUAUUUGUAUUAAGAAUAUUGAGUGUGUGGCUAGCAUAGAGGAAGCAAUUGGAGCUUUCCUGAGCGAGAAGGCAUUCAUCAGCAUCCUAGACCUUAUCUGGUCCGAUAACAGGAACAUAACAUCAGACGAAGCAAAUCAAGACAAAGAGAUACUUGAAGUCCUCCGGCCACAUCAUGAACUGAACGAGCUAACUGUCAAGGCAUUUGCAGGCUCCUCCUUCCCAAAUUGGUUUAGUAGUCUUUCCCAUUUGCAAACCCUCCACUUGUCUGAUUGCACGAAAUGUGCGACUCUACCAGCACUGGGAGAGCUGCCUCAACUCAAGUAUUUAGAUAUUGGUGGUUUUCCGGCCAUUAUUCAAAUUAGCCAAGAAUUUUCAGGUACCAAUGGAGUUAAGGGGUUUCCAGCACUGAAAGAGCUCGUAUUUGAAGACAUGAGUAAUUUCAAAAGGUGGACUUCUGUACAAGAUGGUGAAUUUCUUCCAUCCCUCACAGAACUUGCAGUGGUGGACUGCCCGAAAAUAACAGAGUUCCCACCACUCCCAUCAAUGCUAGUGAAGCUCAAAAUUUCUGAAACGGGGUUCACUAUUCUUCCAGAAGUCCAUAUUCCAAACUCCCAGUUUCCAUCGUCAUUAGAAUACUUGCAGAUUCAUCAGUGCCCAAAGCUCACAUCCUUAAAGGAAGGACUGCUUAGCCAGCAAUUAUUGGCUCUCCAGCAGUUAACCAUCACUCACUGUUUAGACCUAAUUGACCUGCCAGUUGAAGGAUUCAGAUCCCUGUCUGCUCUUAAGAGUCUUCACAUCUAUGACUGUCCAAGACUGGCACCAUCAGGACAGCAUAGCUUGCUGCCCUCCAAGCUUGAAGACUUGCGCAUCAGCUCAUGCUACAACCUUAUCAACUCUCUUCUUCAAGAGCUUAAUGAGCUCCCCUCGCUGACACAUCUCACCACCGCUGAUUGUGCUAGCCUUCAAUCUUUUCCAGUAAAGCUCCCUGCGACUCUGCAAAAACUAGAGAUCCUCGAUUGCAGUAAUCUGAUCUACUUGCCUGCUGGUCUAGAAGAUGCAUCGUGCCUAACAGCCAUAACCAUAUUGAAAUGUCCUCUCAUACCAUGCUUGCCAGGGCGCCUUACAGGGUCACUAAAAGAACUGUACAUCAGAGAAUGCCCGUUUCUAUUGGAGAGUUGCCAAGAAAACAGUGGAAGAGAUUGGUGUAAUAUUGCUCAUGUACCAAUCAUUGAGAUCAGUGAUGAUACCAACAUGACCAACAAGAGAACACGAAGAAGAUUAUCAUGA